GACGAACGCUGGCGGCGUGCUUAACACAUGCAAGUCGAACGGAAAGGCCCUGCUUUUGUGGGGUGCUCGAGUGGCGAACGGGUGAGUAACACGUGAGUAAACUGCCCUUGACUUUGGGAUAACUUCAGGAAACUGGGGCUAAUACCGGAUAGGAGCUCCUGCUGCAUGGUGGGGGUUGGAAAGUUUCGGCGGUUGGGGAUGGACUCGCGGCUUAUCAGCUUGUUGGUGGGGUAGUGGCUUACCAAGGCUUUGACGGGUAGCCGGCCUGAGAGGGUGACCGGCCACAUUGGGACUGAGAUAGGGCCCAGACUCCUACGGGAGGCAGCAGUGGGGAAUAUUGCACAAUGGGCGGAAGCCUGAUGCAGCAACGCCGCGUGCGGGAUGACGGCCUUCGGGGUGUAAACCGCUUUCGCCUGUGACGAAGCGUGAGUGACGGUAAUGGGUAAAGAAGCACCGGCUAACUACGUG
rnacentral:rRNA from 1 species